GGAACGCGAUUUGACCUUGGACGUGCCCCGUGCAAGUGCACUGGCCUUAGGCGUGCUGAAGAACUUGAUUUGUCAGGACUCCCACGACCACGACCAUGGCUCCAACUGGUGGUGGUGGACGACCCCCUCUUGCUGAAAACACGCCUUCUGUCUCCAGCCUGGCACCGGGCAUUUUGGAGGCAUCCAGAGAAGGGCAUUCGCCAGCGAAAAAUAUCUUCUGGCUAUCUUCUCUUUUACACCUGGAGGGGAAGCCAAAGAACCAAAAACAGCGUUUGGCAGCUGCAGCAAGGGCGAGUGCUCUCCGACGAAGUUUCAUCAGAGGCGGGACUUUCCAAAGAAGGCGACAAAACGGCCUGUAGCGCCGUUGCCUCUGUGCCGGUGCAUGGAGAUGGCCGAGCCUGCCUCUGGGCAGCCGGCAGUGCUGAGACCGCAGAGGGUGCCAACGCCGGCCAACCUAUACCUGGCUGCUCUCCGCUAAUACGAUGUCGCGGAUUUUAUGCCUGGCCGACUCGCCCAGCUACGGCGGCACGCUGUCUCUUUGCGGCCCGCUGCGGCGGCUGCUGCGCGCCGCGGACGAUGCGCGCGCGGCUGCGGCGGCUGGCCGCCCGGUGGCUGCCGUUUGAACCCACGUGGUGCGCCGACUGGACAGGGGCUGGGACCGGCGGCUCACCGCUCUGCACAUGGCCGAACUGUGCACUGCCACCGACCGAGGGCUUGGUAACAUAUUGUUUCUGGAAUGUUCACGGGUUCCAUUCCUGCUCAAAGACUUAAUGAGUGCGCCGAAACUCGUCAGCAUCUUGGGAACUACACCGGAGUGCACCUGCUGCGGCUGCUGCUCGGACCGCCGUGCACUCUGAACGUCCGUAACCUGGUGUGGCACGGCUUUCUGGUGCUGGGGCUCGCUACGCGCCCUCUGCGGGGACGCCGUGCUCUGCCAGCUCUGCGACCUGCUCGUGUGGCCGGCCGGGCCGCGGCGGCGCAACCGGCUGGCGCACGGCGAGGUGGAGCCGGCGCGACUGCCGGCGCCGCUGGCGCACCAGCUGCUCUGGCUCACUGGUCAGCUGCUGGUCACCACCGCUGACUGGGCGGAGCGGCAGCCGGCGCCGGCCGGCGGCACAGCGCAGCACUCUGGGGACGGGGCCGAGCAGCACUAGACUAGCAGCGACUCGUGGAUAACUGGUCCGACCUGGAGCCAGCCGGCCAUCAGAGAGCUGGAGGCAGCUGAUGAUUGUGAAAUGAGUGAGUUGGACAGCUGUGCCACGCUGUCAGACUCCCGUCGACUGCGACGAGUGUGGGACUCGCACGGGUUGUGUCAGUGACCAAAGUGCUCUUUUUAUGUGUGGUGACCGGUCAGACUAUUUGACACAGACUAGCCAGAGUGUGUCACGAACUUCUGACAGUGAAUGCCAGUCAGUGCUUAGAUGUGGGGACGCGUCCAUCGAAUCGAGCGACGCUAAUGCACCGUGUGACAGUGUGCGUUUUCCGGGCGAGUUCGUUGCGCUGUGUGCCGGUCGUGCGCGGGACUGGUACCACCCGUCGUUCCACCAGUUCUCAGCGCUGCGGCGCGCCGUGCGCGAUCUCGGUGCCGCCGCCGAGGAGACUGUGCGCCGCGAGCUGCCGCCCGAGGACCUGCCGGCGCUGACCCGGCUGGAGCCGCUGGCUGACGGCGCGCUGUCGCUGCGUCCGCCGACCCUGCGCCGGCCGCGCCGGGAGGCCGAGCUGCUGACCCAGCUGCAGCAGCUGGUGGCGGCCCUGGACGGCGCCUGCCCCCUGGUAGCGGGUGGCAGCUGCGGGCGCCACGUGACGCCGUCUGCGCUCUCGGCAGCGCGCCACCUGGGGCCGCAUGCAGACCGCGUUGCCAGAGCUGCGUCGUCUGACGGCGGGUCUGCUGCGACUGGUGACGCACCAACUGGACGGUCUGGCCACCGCCGCGAGUCCGGAUUGAGACGGACACGGAGACAGUUCCGAACGGAGCCUCCCUCACCAGGAGAGCUUGACGCUGCUGCGAGCACUACAGGGCUACUGGCGGUACGUCACGUGCUGCUGGUUUUCUAGAGACGAAUGUUUGCUGAUAUUAGGCUGUUAAGACUGAGCCGUGAUGCUGUGGCCGGUGGGAGUGCCGGCGCCGUGGACCCGACGCCCAGCGCUUCGCUUCGCGCUGCUACCACACAGGUCUCUGAAUGGAGCUGCGUUCAGGUGGGCGGCUGGCUGCGCUGUCUCGGUCUGGCCCAGUACGCCGACGCGUUCGUCGCCCGCUCUGUGGAUGGCGCCCGGCUUCUGGGGCUCACCGAACAGGCUAUGGAAGACGAGCCCGACGUCGGUCUCGACGUGGCGACCUCGGAGCCAGCGUGUUGGGUAUCGGCUUCCCGCCACUCACCGGCGGACCUUUCCGCUUCGUGGACCGCAUCGGUCCCGCACAGCUAGUCAAGGACAUGGAGCGCUUCGCCGUCGUCAGUGGCGUCGGCUUCGAGCCGUGCCUGACCGUGCACUACCAGGCCGCUAGCGGCACCAAGUUCUGUUCGGCCGGUCCUCGUGUAAUGCCCACAUGUGAUGACCGAGAGUAUACGCAUGUGAAGCCGCUCCGCGCGUGUGCCAGCGCUGGGCGUGUUCAGUUUCAAAGUUAAUAUAUAACCCUGGUGAUCAA